GAUGAACGCUGGCGGCACGCUUAACACAUGCAAGUCGAACGAAGUGGCGAACGGCUGAGUAACACGUGGGCAACCUGCCCUUCAGUUCGUACUAGCUACGGGAAACCGUGGGUAAUACCGGAUGCUGAAGGAUGGGCCCGCGGCCUGUUUGCUUGUUGGUGAGGUAACGGCCCACCAAGGCGGUAAUGGGUAGCCGCGUUGAGAGACCGACCGGCCGGAUUGGUACUGAGCGACGGCCCGGAGUCCGACGGGGGGCAGCAGUGGGGAAUCUUUGGCAAUGGGCGAACGCGUGACGCAGCGAUGCCGCGUGCGGGAUGAAGGCCUUCGGGUCGUAAACCGCUUUCAGCAGGGACGCGGUACCUGCAGAAGAAGCCCCGGCUAACUACGUGCCAGCAGCCGCGGUAAUAC
rnacentral:rRNA from 1 species